rnacentral:rRNA from 1 species
UACGUAGGGUGCGAGCGUUAAUCGGAAUUACUGGGCGUAAAGCGUGCGCAGGCGGUGAUGUAAGGCAGUUGUGAAAUCCCCGGGCUCAACCUGGGAAUUGCAUCUGUGACUGCAUCGCUAGAGUACGGUAGAGGGGGAUGGAAUUCCGCGUGUAGCAGUGAAAUGCGUAGAUAUGCGGAGGAACACCGAUGGCGAAGGCAAUCCCCUGGACCUGUACUGACGCUCAUGCACGAAAGCGUGGGGAGCAAACAGG